GCGCUCGUGGCCUAAUGGAUAAGGCGUUUGACUUCUAAUCAAACGAUUGUGGGUUCGAGUCCCACCGAGCGUG
rfam:Zea mays cultivar B73 chromosome 4, whole genome shotgun sequence.